GGAUUCCUAGGAGGAACUGACAAGUGGUGCUCUAAAGCCCAACCAACUCCAUUUUUUAAAGAAGAAGCUCCAGUUUGUACGAGGCCUGACUCCAAUUCCAGGAUGAAAGCCAUGAAGACCACUUGUGCGAACAUCAUACGGCAACUGCCCGGACUCCUGGACCCUACCCCUAGCAACGGCCAGUCAGGCUACACUGGCAGGGCCAAGGAAGCAGCUGGGGGUGGAGGUCGAGGGACAUUCUCUGGAACUUGUUAUUGAACAACAACAACAAAAAAGGCACAUGCCACAAAGAUCACUUCAAAUCAGCGCACCAGAUCCUGCUACUGCACUGACCAUGCUGGAACAAGGCUGACCCAUCCUUCUUAGAAGGAGAUACUGAGGAGACCAGGUCUGCACCACAAGAAGAUGAAAGGGCGACCCUUGAAAAUCAUGUCUGUGGAGUUUAUUUUAAACAGUUCAAACUUUUCUGGCUCUAAAACAUAGAGGUCAUAUUAAAAAUUAAAAAG
ensembl:lincRNA 1700057H21Rik RIKEN cDNA 1700057H21 gene